rnacentral:rRNA from 1 species
AUUGAACGCUGGCGGCAGGCCUAACACAUGCAAGUCGAGCGGAGCGGCGGACGGGUGAGUAAUGCCUAGGUAUCUGCCUGGUCGUGGUGGAUAACGUCCGGAACCGGGAGCUAAUACUGAAUACUAUUAGAUGAGCCUAGGCCGGAUUAGCUAGUUGGUGGGGUAAAGGCCUACCAAGGCGACGAUCCCUAGCUGGUCUGAGAGGAUGAUCAGCCACACUGGAACUGAGACACGGUCCAGACUCCUACGGGAGGCAGCAGUGGGGAAUAUUGGACAAUGGGCGAAAGCCUGAUCCAGCCAUGCCGCGUGUGUGAAGAAGGUCUUCGGGUUGUAAAGCACUUUAAGUUGGGAGGCGUUACCAACAGAAUAAGCACCGGCUAACUUCGUGCCAGCAGCCGCGGUAAUAC